rnacentral:rRNA from 1 species
GACGAACGCUGGCGGCGUGCUUAACACAUGCAAGUCGAACGGAAAGGCCCUGCUUUUGUGGGGUGCUCGAGUGGCGAACGGGUGAGUAACACGUGAGUAACCUGCCCUUGACUUUGGGAUAACUUCAGGAAACUGGGGCUAAUACCGGAUAGGAGCUCCUGCUGCAUGGUGGGGGUUGGAAAGUUUCGGCGGUUGGGGAUGGACUCGCGGCUUAUCAGCUUGUUGGUGGGGUAGUGGCUUACCAAGGCUUUGACGGGUAGCCGGCCUGAGAGGGUGACCGGCCACAUGGGGACUGAGAUACGGCCCAGACUCCUACGGGAGGCAGCAGUGGGGAAUAUUGCACAAUGGGCGGAAGCCUGAUGCAGCAACGCCGCGUGCGGGAUGACGGCCUUCGGGUUGUAAACCGCUUUCGCCUGUGACGAAGCGAGAGUGACGGUAAUGGGUAAAGAAGCACCGGCUAACUACGUG